rnacentral:rRNA from 1 species
UACGUAGGGGGCGAGCGUUAUUCGGAUUUACUGGGCGUAAAGCGCGUGUAGGCGGCUGGUUAAGCGUGAUGUGAAAUCUCCGGGCUCAACCCGGAAACUGCAUUGCGAACUGGCCUGGCUGGAGUGCAGGAGAGGGUAGUGGAAUUCCCGGUGUAGCGGUGAAAUGCGUAGAUAUCAGGAGGAACACCCGUAGCGAAGGCGGCACUCUGGGCCGGAACUGACGCUGAGGAGCGAAAGCGUGGGGAGCGAACAGG